rnacentral:snRNA from 1 species
GUGCUUGCUUCGGCAGCGCAUAUUCUAAAAUUGGAACAAUACAGAGAAGAUUAGCUUGGCCCCUGCGCAAGGAUGACACACAAAUUUGUGAAGUGUUCCAUCAGUGG